CACGUAGGGUGCAAGCGUUGUCCGGAAUUAUUGGGCGUAAAGAGCUUGUAGGCGGUUUGUCGCGUCUGCUGUGAAAUUUCGGGGCUCAACCCCGAACUUGCAGUGGGUACGGGCAGACUAGAGUGUGGUAGGGGAGACUGGAAUUCCUGGUGUAGCGGUGAAAUGCGCAGAUAUCAGGAGGAACACCGAUGGCGAAGGCAGGUCUCUGGGCCAUAACUGACGCUGAGAAGCGAAAGCAUGGGGAGCGAACAGG
rnacentral:rRNA from 1 species